GCCUAACACAUGCAAGUCGAACGGUAACAGAAAGAAGCUUGCUUCUUUGCUGACGAGUGGCGGACGGGUGAGUAAUGUCUGGGAAACUGCCUGAUGGAGGGGGAUAACUACUGGAAACGGUAGCUAAUACCGCAUAACGUCGCAAGACCAAAGAGGGGGACCUUCGGGCCUCUUGCCAUCGGAUGUGCCCAGAUGGGAUUAGCUAGUAGGUGGGGUAACGGCUCACCUAGGCGACGAUCCCUAGCUGGUCUGAGAGGAUGACCAGCCACACUGGAACUGAGACACGGUCCAGACUCCUACGGGAGGCAGCAGUGGGGAAUAUUGCACAAUGGGCGCAAGCCUGAUGCAGCCAUGCCGCGUGUAUGAAGAAGGCCUUCGGGUUGUAAAGUACUUUCAGCGGGGAGGAAGGGAGUAAAGUUAAUACCUUUGCUCAUUGACGUUACCCGCAGAAGAAGCACCGGCUAACUCCGUGCCAGCAGCCGCGGUAAUACGGAGGGUGCAAGCGUUAAUCGGAAUUACUGGGCGUAAAGCGCACGCAGGCGGUUUGUUAAGUCAGAUGUGAAAUCCCCGGGCUCAACCUGGGAACUGCAUCUGAUACUGGCAAGCUUGAGUCUCGUAGAGGGGGGUGGAAUUCCAGGUGUAGCGGUGAAAUGCGUAGAGAUCUGGAGGAAUACCGGUGGCGAAGGCGGCCCCCUGGACGAAGACUGACGCUCAUGUGCGAAAGCGUG
rnacentral:rRNA from 1 species